rnacentral:rRNA from 1 species
UACGUAGGGUGCGAGCGUUGUUCGGAAUUACUGGGCGUAAAGAGCUCGUAGGCGGUGUGUCGCGUCGGCCGUGAAAACCUGCAGCUUAACUGUGGGCGUGCGGUCGAUACGGGCAUCACUGGAGUUCGGCAGGGGAGACUGGAAUUCCUGGUGUAGCGGUGAAAUGCGCAGAUAUCAGGAGGAACACCGGUGGCGAAGGCGGGUCUCUGGGCCGAUACUGACGCUGAGGAGCGAAAGCGUGGGGAGCGAACAGG